rnacentral:rRNA from 1 species
AUUGAACGCUGGCGGCAGGCCUAACACAUGCAAGUCGAACGAGUGGCGGACGGGUGAGUCAUGUCUGGGAAACUGCCUGUUGGAGGGGGAUAACUACUGGAACCGGUAGCUAAUACCGCCUACCCUCAGCUUUGCCCAGAUGGGAUUAGCUUGUUGGUGGGGUAACGGCUAACCAAGGCGACGAUCCCUAGCUGGUCUGAGAGGAUGACCAGCAAAACUGGAACUGAGACACGGUCCAGACUCCUACGGGAGGCAGCAGUGGGGAAGAUUGCACAAGGGGCGAAAGCCGGAUGCAGCCAUGCCGCGUGUAGGAAGAAGUCCUUCGGGUUGUAAAGUACUUUCAGCGGGGAGGCGUUACCCGCAGAAGAAGCACCGGCUAACUCCGUGCCAGCAGCCGCGGUAAUUC